UACGGGGGGGGCAAGCGUUGUUCGGAAUUACUGGGCGUAAAGGGCGCGUAGGCGGCCACCGCAAGUCGACUGUGAAAUCUCCGGGCUUAACCCGGAAAGGUCAGCCGAUACUGCGGGGCUAGAGUGCAGAAGGGGCAACUGGAAUUCUCGGUGUAGCGGUGAAAUGCGUAGAUAUCGAGAGGAACACCUGCGGCGAAGGCGGGUUGCUGGGCUGACACUGACGCUGAUGCGCGAAAGCGCGGGGAGCGAACGGG
rnacentral:rRNA from 1 species